UUAAAAUUUUAAUUAUUUUGGCAGAUUAGUGCAAUGAAUUUAGAAUUCAUUUAUGUAAAUUAUUUACAAAUAAUAC
rnacentral:tRNA from 1 species